rnacentral:rRNA from 1 species
GACGAACGCUGGCGGCGUGCUUAACACAUGCAAGUCGAACGGAAAGGCCCUGCUUUUGUGGGGUGCUCGAGUGGCGAACGGGUGAGUAACACGUGAGUAACCUGCCCUUGACUUUGGGAUAACUUCAGGAAACUGGGGCUAAUACCGGAUAGGAGCUCCUGCUGCAUGGUGGGGGUUGGAAAGUUUCGGCGGUUGGGGAUGGACUCGCGGCUUAUCAGCUUGUUGGUGGGGUAGUGGCUUACCAAGGCUUUGACGGGUAGCCGGCCUGAGAGGGUGACCGGCCACAUUGGGACUGAGAUACGGCCCAGACUCCUACGGGAGGCAGCAGUGGGGAAUAUUGCACAAUGGGCGGAAGCCUGAUGCAGCAACGCCGCGUGCGGGAUGACGGCCUUCGGGUUGUAAACCGCAUGCGCCUGUGACGAAGCGUGAGUGACGGUAAUGGGUAAAGAAGCACCGGCUAACUACGUG